rnacentral:lncRNA from 1 species
UUUUUUUUUUUUUUGAGACAGAGUUUUGCUCUUGUUGCCCAGGUUAGAGUGCAGUGGUGCGAUCUUGGCUCACUGCAACCUCUGCCUCCCGGGUUCAAGCAAUUCUCCUGCCUCAGUCUCCUGAGUAGCUGGGAUUACAGGCAUGUGCCAUCACACCCAGCUAAUUUUGUAUUUUUAGUAGAGAUGGCGUUUCACCAUGUUGGUCAGGCCGGUCUUGAACUUCUACCUCAAGUGAUCUACCCACUUUAGCUUCCCAAAGUGCUGGGAUUACAUGCAUGAACCACUGUGCCUGGCCUUUAUUUUCUACCUCUGCUGGCUGGCUGAAUACCUUGAGCAGACCAGAAUUACUGGAGGCAAGGAAAAAAUGGAAGAUUAGCUAAAUUUGUUUUCCAUCAAAAGCAAUGAUGAAAAUGCUUCUUUUCAAAGAGCAACAGCAAAUAUUGGUCUAAAUUCACAAGUGUUCAUCCGACAGGCCAUAUUGGAGAGUUAAGGUAGUUGUGCAUGGUCCUGAGUGCACGGAUACGGAAUUUAGCUACAGGAUGAAUAUUCUGCUUUCGUAAGCUGUUUUGAUGAGAUGUGAAGACGUGUUCUGAACAAUAUUAGAAGAAUGCAUCACCUUAGUAUAUUUGGCACCUGCCCUGCCCCUGACUUUUUCCUGAGUGAACAGGAGCCACCUCCCCUUUUAAAUUAAAUGAUGGAAUAGCCUGGCCUGUUCCAAAUACUUGCUGCUGUCUCCUAUGCUUGUUCCUCUGGGUCUCCAAGCAUGUGGCUGAGAAUCCAUUUGGGACAUCCAUUCCCUGUCCCUGCCUGUGUCUAUCAUUAAACAAAGUGAAGAUAGUCUGGUGUGACUGGCUUUCCAAACUCUUAUUUGGAUUCACUGUAAUGUGGACUAAACAAAUGGCUUAAAAUUCACUGUUUGCAGACACCCCAUCAUCUGCUUCACUCAGUAGAGACAUGACCUGCCCCUCGAAGCUCUGCUCAUUCCACCACCUUCCUGACAGGCAUGUGCACAGCUUCAGGAAGCUCUCUGAGGUGAGAAACCCUGCCGUUUUACCUGUUUGCAUCCCCUCUUUGUGUCCUGAAUAUUUUUACUACCUUAAAUGUGUGCUCUUUCCCCCACAACAUUUGUUUUAAAUAAUCUUAAAGCUACAGAAAUGUUUCUAGAAUAGUCCAGUGGGUUCCCACAUGACAAUUCAACUGUCGUUGGCAUUUUGCCACACUUAUUUUCCCCUUUUAAGUGUACAUUUGUCAUUCUUCUGACUAAACCAUUUUGAAAGUUAGUCAUUGUGAUAUUUUGCCCCCAAAUACUUGAGCAUUAUCCAUUGAGAACAAAAUCAUUCCCCUUCAGUUACCACACGAAGGAAAUUUAACAAUAACACAGCACCAUUAUUGAAUAUAUAGUCCAUAUAAAGUUUUUCCCAGUGUGUCUACUAAUGUCAUUUAUACCUUCUGUUGUUUGUUUUUAUCCAAGCACCGCAACUGCUUUUAGUUACUAUAUCUUUUAUUUUUAAAAUCUGGACUAGCUCACUUUUUGUUUUUUUCUUUCUAUAUCAGAGACAUUUUUGAAGUAUUUAUGUCACCUUUACAGAAUGUUGAUCAAGUGGCUUUUGUUAGAUUGUUUCCUCAAAUUUGACAGUUUUAGAGAAACACUGCCUCCAUGAUAUUGUCUGAACCAGUGCAUCACAUCAAGACACAUGAUUGACACAAUAAUGCUGUGUGCCACUCAGUGCAUCACAGCAGGACACAUGAGGCACAUAUGUGCUGCCAU